UCCCUGAUAGUUCUGUGGUUAAACUCUGGGCUCCCAGUGCAGAGGGCGCAGGUUCGAUUCCUGGUCGGAGAA
rnacentral:tRNA from 1 species